rnacentral:misc_RNA from 1 species
UCCGGUUUGUCACCGGCAGUCUCGCAUGAGUCCCCAACUAAAUGCUGGCAACAUGCGACAGGGGUUGCGCUCGUUGCGGGACUUAACCCAACAUCUCACGAUACGAGCUGACGACAACCAUGCACCACCUGUACACCGCCCCGAAGGACCCCACAUCUCUGUGAGUUUUCAGUGCAUGUCAAGCCUUGGUAAGGUUCUUCGCGUUGCAUCGAAUUAAGCCGCAUGCUCCGCCGCUUGUGCGGGCCCCCGUCAAUUUCUUUGAGUUUUAACCUUGCGGCCGUACUCCCCAGGCGGAUAACUUAACGCGUUAGCUGCGCCACCGAAACGCUAAGCGCCCCGACAGCUAGUUAUCAUCGUUUACGGCGUGGACUAC